GGCAGUAAUCGAUCGAGUGCCCGCAC
rnacentral:piRNA from 1 species